rnacentral:rRNA from 1 species
AGCGAACGCUGGCGGCAGGCUUAACACAUGCAAGUCGAACGGGCACUUCGGUGCUAGUGGCAGACGGGUGAGUAACGCGUGGGAACGUGCCUUUCGGUUCGGAAUAAUCCAGGGAAGCUUGGACUAAUACCGGAUACGCCCUUAGGGGGAAAGCUUUAUCGCCGAAAGAUCGGCCCGCGUCUGAUUAGCUAGUUGGUGAGGUAAAGGCUCACCAAGGCGACGAUCAGGAGCUGGUCUGAGAGGAUGAUCAGCCACAUUGGGACUGAGACACGGACCAAACUGCUAUGGGAGGCGGCAGUGGGGCAUAUUGGACAAUGGAGCCAAGCCUGUUCCAGUCAUGCCGCGUGAGUUAUGAAGGCCUUGGGGUUGUAAAGCUCUUUUGUCAUGCAAGUUAAUGACUGUACCGGAAGCAUAAGCCCUGGCUAACUUCGUGCCAGCAGCCGCCGUAACAC